rnacentral:rRNA from 1 species
GUGCCAGCCGCCGCGGUAAUACAGGGGGGGCAAGCGUUGUUCGGAAUUACUGGGCGUAAAGGGUUCGUAGGUGGCCAACUAAGUCAGACGUGAAAUCCCUCAGCUUAACUGGGGAACUGCGUCUGAUACUGGAUGGCUUGAGUGUAGGAGAGGAAUGCGGAAUUCCAGGUGUAGCGGUGAAAUGCGUAGAUAUCUGGAGGAACACCGGUGGCGAAGGCGGCAUUCUGGACUACAACUGACACUGAGGAACGAAAGCCAGGGGAGCAAACGGGAUUAGAUACCCUAGUAGUCC